rnacentral:rRNA from 1 species
ACAGCAGCCGCCGCGGGAAUACGGAGGAUCCAAGCGUUAUCCGGAAUCAUUGGGUUUAAAGGGUCCGUAGGCGGUCUUGUAAGUCAGUGGUGAAAGACCAUCGCUCAACGGUGGAACGGCCAUUGAUACUGCAGGACUUGAAUUAUUGGGAAGUAACUAGAAUAUGUAGUGUAGCGGUGAAAUGCUUAGAGAUUACAUGGAAUACCAAUUGCGAAGGCAGGUUACUACCAAUUGAUUGACGCUGAUGGACGAAAGCGUGGGUAGCGAACAGGAUUAGAUACCCCGGUAGUCCCUGUCUCUUAUAC